AGUCGUAACAAGGUUUCCGUAGGUGAACCUGCGGAAGGAUCAUUAUCAUAUCUUUUAUCCCUUUUAAAAACCACUUGGAUUAGUAGGAUGUUCAGUACCUACCUUUCAAGAUACUCUACACCUCCUCCUAUCCAAGUUGGCACACCAUGUGAACUUUAUAAAGUCCAUAACCCCAUUUUUAAAACACCUUAUUUUAUCCAGUUUGUUAGAGUUUGUAAUCUCUCUUCCUCUCUUUCUCUUUUCUCCUCCCUUUCUUUUAAGGAAGGACAGGACUAUAAAGGUCAGAGUUGUUCAAGUGAGACACACAAAUGAAAAAAAACAUACAUACAAUCUUUAGCGAUGGAUAUCUCGGCUCGU
rnacentral:misc_RNA from 1 species